ACCCCCCGCACUCUCUCCUGGAGACCCAGGGAGGAGAGACCAGGAGCAGAACGCUGUGUCCUGCCCCCCAUCUCCACUCUUCCCUCCACCAACGGGGCCUGGACCAGGACCUCUGAGAGCAUGUGAGGCAUGGGACACUGAGGAGCCCCUAUCCUACCUGUGCCGUUUUCUUGGAAGACAGCGACGGUCAAGUUCCACGGAGAAUCUGGGACAGAAAGACAUGGCAGGUUGGCGUCAACGGAGAGGGCUGGUGGACAUUGGCCCUCAGUCCCCACGGGAGCUGCAUAAAUGGGAAGAGGGUGGAGAUCCUCCUGACCCCCUCCCAGCCCACAUGCCAGGACCCGACACCCAAUGUCCCAGGCCCUGACCCCCCAGCCAACUGCCCUCAGGACCCCAUCAGGGAUCCGGGUGGCCCUGGACCGGUUCUCACAGGACACGUUGAGGUGAAUGGUCCUCAUUGUGGUCACUCCGGUCCCAGGCAAGGUCACCUGACAGGUGAGCUCGGUGCCGUGGUCCUGCAGCCGUGGGGUGAGGGUGAGCACAGAGGAGAGGUGGGUCUUGGGGCCCAGGGAAGCGAGGACCGCUGACGUCCAGGAGAAGAUGGGGGGCGUGCCCUACUCACAGGCCCAGGGCACAGAGCAGGUCAGGUUACUGGGGCGUCCAGACUCCAGGGUCCCCGAGAUAAGGAUGUCAGGUGUCUGGGUCAGGGCUGGGGGGAGAUGGGGAGACACGGGGAUCAGGAGGAGGGUCCGAGGUGCAGCCUUGAGAGAAGCCUCAAGCUUUGGUCCAGCCCCUGCCUCUGAGCCCCAACAUGCAUUACCCCCAGCCCCUCCCGGGUUGUCCUGAGACCCCCAACCUUCCCCUGUGGCUUCUCCCACAAUCUGCUCCUUACCUGUCACACGCACGGAGAGCUGGUCACGUGUGUAAGUAUAUCUCACAGAAGGCCCUCUCUCCACCCUAAAGACGUAUGUCCCCGAGUCCCCUCUCCGUACAUCUCUGAUGUCCAGGGAGCAGUCGUAGUCCUGGGGGUUUCCGAGGAGGCGGAAUUGGCCCUGGGACUCCUGCCGCACUUUUCCAUCUGGGUUGUUUGUGGCCACUAGAACAUCCUGUUGUACACCGGCCCCUUUCCGGAACCAGUAGCCGAGAGCUGGGGUAGACUCAGACCAGCCUUCCCGGGGAUAGAAGCAUCUGCAGGACACUCGCACACACAGGCCCUCCUGCCCCUUUGCGUCCUGCACUUGCAGCCAGUAAUCCCCCUGUGGCCCCCUCCUGGCCCCCCUCUGGCCCUCGGCCCCCUCCCUCCCCCAGAGCAGGGCCAACAGCAGCAGAAGCAUGUCUGGGCUUGGAGGUGCCGGGUCCCCGGGGAGCCUGUUUCUCCAGGUCUGUCUCUCAGAAGCUAAGAGCUGCAAGACUGAGAGGAGGCCCCGACAGGAAGGUGACAGUGAUGUCAGAACAGCGGCCCUCGUCAGAGAAGGAACCUCGCACGCAGACGCUGUCAGGGCCGGGACAGCCCUUGGGAAUCAGCCAUCCACCACCGCAUCUCCACUGCUGGGGACCCUGGGCCUAGAGGCCAGAGAGG